GUGCAGUAUAGUUGAGAAUAUGCUUCUGCAGCUUGGAAAAUGAGCAGGAACACCAACUCACUCAACUAUUAUCGUAUGUAAAACAUCUUUGUAUUUGCAAUUACUGGGAGAAGUGACAGGACAGUACCCAACUGGGAAAACUGGAAGCUGCUGAAAUUAAUUAAGUGUUCCCAUGUGUAGUCCUGCAGAUCCAGCCUAGGAAGGAACAUUGUUUGAAUUGGGAAUGAGGGAAGAGAGAAAAGAGUGGCUGUGCAGGGCGUACUGCAGGUGUAUCCCAACAAGAAUGCUUGGCUUGAAGGAUGUGAAAUGUUCCACGAAGCCAACAAGCUAGUAUCAUCAGCAAGCAGUAUUCCAGUGUUCAGAUACACACAGCCACAACUACACCAGCAGCAGUGCAAACAGGUAUACACAAAUGGGUGCUUAAGUCCUCCUGCAGUAUGCUUCCUUGCCUGCCUGCAGCACUUCAGAGCUUGUGCAUAUAGGAUUGCAGCCCACAGCUCCCAGCUCACUGAAGUCUCCUGGUCACCACGCUGGACUACACCGGAACAGCAUUAAUUGAGAACUGAGACGGGAAUCACAGAAAGGAAGACAGCUGUCUAACCCUUUUUACUGCACAUAGACUAUAUGGCUAUAAUUUAUAUAAGCAGACCUUAAACUGAAGCCUGGAUCUCCUUCUUCCGGUGUGAGCACUAUGGUAAGAACAAUGCUUCAGCCAAAAGCAGAGUGCUACAGGAGACGUGGAGGAUUUUCCUUUCUUUCAGCAGCCCAUUGACUGCUCCUAAUUAGUCCCUAGCACAACAGUUUCGUCACUUGCUCAUGAAGGGACUGUAAAUUCCCUGAAGCCAUGUUGAAUCAGGAUCCUGCUUUUGAGAAAAAAAAUAAAAAAAUAAUAAAAAAAUAAAGUCCUUUAAUG
rnacentral:lncRNA from 1 species